rnacentral:rRNA from 1 species
UGAGGAAUAUUGGUCAAUGGACGCAAGUCUGAACCAGCCAUGCCGCGUGCAGGAAGAAGGUGCUAUGCAUUGUAAACUGCUUUUAUACGGGGGUAAGUUACAGAUACGUGUAUCUGGUUGAAAGUACCGUAUGAAUAAGGAUCGGCUAACUCCGUGCCAGCAGCCGCGGUAAUACGGAGGAUCCGAGCGUUAUCCGGAUUUAUUGGGUUUAAAGGGUGCGUAGGCGGUCAGGUAAGUUAGAGGUGAAAGCUCGAUGCUCAACAUCGAAACUGCCUCUGAUACUGUCUGACUAGAGUGUAGUUGCGGAAGGCGGAAUGUGUGGUGUAGCGGUGAAAUGCUUAGAUAUCACACAGAACACCGAUUGCGAAGGCAGCUUUCCAAGCUAUUACUGACGCUGAGGCACGAAAGCGUGGGGGAGCGAACAGGAUUAGAUACC